rnacentral:lncRNA from 1 species
GGGUGAAGCUGGAGAUAUUUCGGGCCGAGUGGUUUGAGGACGAUGUCAUACAGCGCAAGAGGGAGCUGUGGCCACCUGAGAAGCUUCAAGAGAUAGAGGAAUUCAAAGAGAGGUUACGGAAGCGGCGGGAGGAGAAGCUCCUUCGCGAUGCCCAGCAAAACUCCUGAAGCCUCCAAGUGGGAGUCCUAGCCCCUCCCCUGAUGAAAUAUACAUAUACUCAGUUCCUUGUUAUUCAUUUAAGUGUUUUAUUCUUUUAUCAGUUUUUCGGGGCCGAGUGAGACCCAGGAUGCCUCAGGCCCUCAGGGGGCUUGUGUCGGGGGCUGGGGGCUGCUGUUCCGACGGAAGCUGAGAGCAGUCGGGUCCUGAGGGGUGAGCAGGGGUUGGGGACUGAGGGUCCCAGCUCGUUUCUGUGCUCCGUCCUGUGGAUGAAGAGGGGUCAGCCAGGGGGAGGGCUCAAGGGCAGUGCCGGCCACAGGUGGCGAACAAUGGAGAGAGGGUGCAGGUAGGCACCGUGUCCCACCUCAUCGUGAGCACUGGUCUAUGUUUACCCUCAAUAUCUGCCAUUUAGGGUGGCAUUUGAGUGUGAGGUGGCAGGUCUUGGGGCCCUCGCUGGGGUCUUGAUCAGAACCCAAGCUUCGUGUAUGUGUGAAGUCAACAGAUGUGAGUAUGCAGAUGUAUAUAUCCUAUGCGUGAGCUUACGUGCCCUCCUCCCUGGGAUACUUUCCUAGG